CACUUAUCCCCAACCAAAUCAUUUUGCACCUACACCAUUACACAAGAAAAGAAUAAACUUAAACAUCACCGAAAAGAAAAAAAGUGAAAUUUGACUAUCUUUUAAGAGGAAAUUUGACUAGUCUGAGUCAAUACUCAAUAUUUUAUUGGAUUACCGGGUUUUAGACAAGAGCAUGAAAAAGUAAUGAAUUAACUGCCUUCUAUGGCAGUCUUUAACUCUUUUUAAGCCAGCAAAAGCUCCGCUACUCACUCUUUUAAAUAGAUCACAGCAACUGGAAUCAGAUGGUGCCAUUCUCAUCUUGUUGCUGUAUCGAUUGAGAUGAGAGGAGCUUCUCCGAGUCCCGUGGAGCCCAGACUCCGUUUGUCUGCUUCAGCUAAAGCUUGGGACUUGGGAGGGUGACGAGUGGUGGCGUUGCUUGGGAGUUCAAUCGGGUGGUGGCUGGCCGGAGGAUGCUGCCUGCGAGUGGCGAUUGGCGACGCGAAUGCUAGGGCUUCAAUUUCGUUUUGUGAGAAUCUGAGAUUGUGUUCUGUUGAGUGCUGUCACUGUUGUGUAUUGUGUUUUCAUCUUGAAAUCCAACGGUGGUAAUUAGAUGGUGAGAGAUCAAUGGCUUACAAAAUUUCAUAGAAAUAAUUUAAUGAAAAUAAUUUUUGCAAAA